rnacentral:rRNA from 1 species
GACGAACGCUGGCGGUGUGCUUAACACAUGCAAGUCGAACGGUAAGGCCCUUUCGGGGGUACACGAGUGGCGAACGGGUGAGUAACACGUGAGUAACCUGCCCUCAUCUCUGGGAUAACAGUCGGAAACGGUUGCUAAUACUGGAUAUGAUCCUGCAAGGCAUCUUGUGGGUUGGAAAGAUUUUUUGGUUGGGGAUGGACUCGCGGCCUAUCAGCUUGUUGGUGAGGUAGUGGCUCACCAAGGCUUCGACGGGUAGCCGGCCUGAGAGGGCGACCGGCCACAUUGGGACUGAGAUACGGCCCAAACUCCUACGGGAGGCAGCAGUGGGGAAUAUUGCACAAUGGACGGAAGUCUGAUGCAGCAACGCCGCGUGCGGGAUGACGGCCUUCGGGUUGUAAACCGCUUUCAAUUGUGACGAAGCUUUUUGUGACGGUAGCAGUAGAAGAAGCACCGGCUAACUACGUG